AGCCCCGUCGUCUAGCGGUCAAGGAUAGGGGGUUCUGGACCCCUUGACAGCGGUUCGAAUCCGCUCGGGGCUA
rnacentral:tRNA from 1 species